rnacentral:lncRNA from 1 species
AGAGAGAGUAACAUGGAGGGAGAGAGAGAGUAACAUGGAGGGAGAGAGAGAGAGAGAAACAUGGGGAGAGAGAGAGAGAAACAUGGGGAGAGAGAGAGAGAAACAUGGAGAGAGAGAGAGAGAAACAUGGAGAGAGAGAGAGUAACAUGGAGAGAGAGAGAUCAUUCAUCAGUGAGCAGCAGGGAGGAUACAGUAUCAGUAAUGUAAUGCUGUCCCUAAUCAGCUGAUUAAACCAAUAACCAAAUCAAUACAUCAUAUAUAUAACAUGCAGAGAGAGAGUAACAUGGAGAGAGAGAGCGAGAGUAACAUGGAGAGAGAGGGGGUAACAUGGAGAAAGAGAGAGAGCGAGAGUAACAUGGAGAGAGAGGGGGUAACAUGGAGAAAGAGAGAGAGCGAGAGUAACAUGGAGAGAGAGGGGGUAACCUCUGGGCACCUCUACUUCUGCCAGAGUGCCGUAAGCUCUCGGAGCUGAGUCAUGUUGGACAGGUCUAUUGGCUGAGAGGAAUCAGCUGACACACUCAGUUAAUGAGUUAGCUCUGCAUUGUAGGACUUAGUUUAGCAAAGCUAACUCUGGAUUAAGUAGCGGAGGCAGCGAGCCACGCAUGGAGGAUAUCUGGUAAGAAGUCAACGUGUUCUAAAACAGCUUGGCUUUUUAUAAUGGUUGACGGACGAGGCACCACAAUUGCUAUCGGUUUCAGUUUACACACAUUCCAAAUCACUGCUUAAUAAACUGGGCACUGAGUAACAAUUAGCAGCACUCUCUCGGGAGGGGAGUGAAAUGGUUUAUUCUCCAAAGUCCAAAUGCCACCAAACAUUGGAUUGCCAAAUCCAGACCUUGUGGUCCAGGUUUCAGUGCUGAAUACAGAUCGUGACGAAACCUUUUCAUAUAAUAUAUCAGAUACAGUAGAAAUAAAGUGUUUUUACUCCAAUAAUGAUAAUCCUGACACAACCGAAGUAUAAAAAACACACUAAAUGCCAAUCCACAAAGGUUAAAAUAAGCUCUGUGGAGCCUUGAUCAGAAAUUCUUCAACGCACAUGAACCUUAAAUAGGCUAUUAAUAUGAAGAAUCUUAUUGACUCUCAGGAUUCUCCAUAGACCUCAAUGCUGUUCUCUUGAGCAUGCGCAAGAGCACAGUGUUGAAGUCUGCUCUUGACAGUUGAAGCACCAGGAGUUGAAGAAGACAGGUUCAGGUAUGUAAAAACCUACCUUACCUUGCCCGAUGGAUACAGAACCCCUGGAGGUGAUGUCACUGUUGGGGGUCUUUGCAAAUUAAACAGAGCAGCUAAAAUGGAAUAAAGACUCAAAAACCAAACAUUUACACUCAUUUCAUGAUGGAGAAUGCCUAACCGCUAUAUUUAUAUCCAGUAGGUUAAUUCCUUUGAUUUAUGUCCCUCACACUGGGACCCAACAAGGUCACCAAUCUCUGCUGGCACUGGAGUCCAUUGUUUGGAGAUGACAAGUCAUCCAGUGACUCCUAGACAAAAACCCUAUUAGAAGGUGGAGGUGAUUGAGAGAUCUGUAUCAAGUCUCCGAGAUGGACUACCAGCUGAACAGACCGGUAAGGGAUAUAUUCGCAAAAUACACUUCUAUUGUUUUAUCCUAUCUUCCUGUCUUUGUGAUGGGGAAGUAUAACUCAAGGAUAUGGUAGAGGGAGAGAAAGAUAAGAAUCAUGAUGAGAAUAUCACGCUCAAUUUAAUUGUUUUGGAUAAACAUUUCAAAUGAUCUCAAUCUGUUAGAAAAUCUUUUCUAAUUAUUUAUCUACAGAAUCCACCAUUGAAGUCUAUGGUAAUUUUCCUUUGAAAAGCUUAUCUGAAACAAUUAAAGGCUAUAAUUUGUAGUAGUUAUAGUUAAUGUCUGGCCAAUUAAUCCUGUUGUAGAUUGAUGAUCUGUAACAAUGACAUUUCUUAUUUAGGAUCAGUGUGAGUUUGAGGAGGUGGCCGUUUACUUCUCCGAGGAGGAGUGGGACUAUUUAAAUUAUGAAGAGAAGGAGCUUUACCGGGAUGUGAUGAUGGAGAAUUACCGGACCCUCAGCUCUCUGGGUAAGA